AUCCAGCUGACGCGUCCCAAAUAGGACGAAAUGCGCGUCCUGGAU
rnacentral:hammerhead_ribozyme from 1 species